rnacentral:lncRNA from 1 species
AUGGGAGGUCUUUGCACUUUAUCUAUAUAUUUAUUUUUAAUUUUUUUUUAGUUUUUAAGGUCUCAUUGUACAAAUAUGUGUUAUUUUUUUUUUGCAAUUCCAAACAUUAAGUACAAGCAUAUACAACUGAAUACUUUGAUAGCAUCCCAAAGCCAACUUAUAUAUCUUUGUGGAAAAACAGACAUAGCAUUUUAUUUUCUUGCCAUUAACCUAUAUCAAUGGUUGAAUUUUUCCAAAAUCAUGGGCAAUAGUCUCUUGAAGUUUCUGUCUUUUGUAAGAAUAACACUCCAAACAUUCCGCAUAAAACUUGUCCAGGGUCAAUAUCCUUUCCAUAUAAUCAAACCUGCCUUAUCCUUCAUAUUCCCUGCCACUAUUCCUGAUGAAAACAACAACAAGUUUAUAGUCUUCUCUGUAAUUCCUGUUUAUUUCUUUGAAGAUUUCUCUUUCCCUUUUUUUGGCAAAUCUACAUGUAUACAGUGCAAGUACAGCCAUCCCACCUUUUCUGUGGGGGAUGUAUCCCAACAGCCCCACUGAAUGCCUGAAACUACAAAGGGUAUGGACUUCAGAUAUACUGUUGUUGUUGUUGUUGUUUCUAUACAUACAGACUCAAAC